rnacentral:tRNA from 1 species
CGGGCUGUAGCGCAGCCUGGCUAGCGCGCUUGCUUGGGGUGCAAGAGGUCCCGGGUUCGAAUCCCGGCAGCCCGACCA